rnacentral:sRNA from 1 species
UACAGUAUUUAACAACAAUAACAUAUUUAAACAACAAUUUGCAGAAAUGGCUCGUUUGAACUCUAAUUAAUACCGGUUGUCAAAAAAA